GGGGAAUUUUCCGCAAUGGGCGAAAGCCUGACGGAGCAACGCCGCGUGAGGGAUGAAGGCCUCUGGGCUGUAAACCUCUUUUAUCAAGGAAGAAGAUCUGACGGUACUUGAUGAAUAAGCCACGGCUAAUUCCGUGCCAGCAGCCGCGGUAAUACGGGAGUGGCAAGCGUUAUCCGGAAUUAUUGGGCGUAAAGCGUCCGCAGGCGGCCCUACAAGUCUGCUGUUAAAAAGUGGAGCUUAACUCCAUCAUGGCAGUGGAAACUGUUGGGCUCGAGUGUGGUAGGGGCAGAGGGAAUUCCCGGUGUAGCGGUGAAAUGCGUAGAUAUCGGGAAGAACACCAGUGGCGAAGGCGCUCUGCUGGGCCAUCACUGACGCUCAUGGACGAAAGCCAGGGGAGCGAAAGGGAUUAGAUACCCCAGUAGUC
rnacentral:rRNA from 1 species